rnacentral:lncRNA from 1 species
AACUAAUAGUUUUCCAGAAGCUGAAACCUGCAUGUUUCUACUUAAAGCAGGUCCAUCUUUAGCAAACCGAAAGUGCCCUGUAAGUGGAUGCUGGUGGCAAAUGAUUGUCAGGGGAGAGGAUCAGAUGCCACCCUUUCCAGAAAAGAUGAAGAGCCAAGCAGCUUCACAGAGCGGUGCUCAGCAGAGCGGUUUCUGCUCCGUUGUCUCAGACGCACAUUACUAAUAUGUGAAAUGAGAGAAGGAAGCAGAGGUCACACUCCACGUGUGCUUGAGGAUGGUCAGCUAAGGAACGCUGGUGUUUGCACGAUGCAGAGGAGCCACAGAGAAGUCUGUCUGCAUCCACUGUUUCCUUCAGUAACGUAGAUUUCCUCCACAUCAGAAACCUCUCCACGAAGGACAACUUCCAAAAGCCAUUCCUGGCUCUUCUGAUCCUCUGAAGUCAUACCAAAAUGGGGGAUGGUGGGGGGCACUUUGAAGAGGUGUACUUCAAAUGUCAAGAUAUUUUUCAUUCUUUGGAAAUUAUAGAUAUGUGCACAGUGUAUUUUGAUCAUAUCCAUCUCUUGUCCCUGUUGUCUCUUUCUAGUUCCCCACUCAAGAGUCUCUAAUACAGCUCCCUCCCAACUUCAUGUCUUUUUAAAAAGAAUUAUUAAUAAUCCACUAUGUCCAAUUCACGCUGUCCAUAUGUCCAUGGGUAUAGGGCCAUCCACUAGGAUAUGGGCAGCUUACCAGUUGUCACCCUACUGAAACAGCGACUUUCCCUCUCAGCAGGCUU